GAGUUUGAUCCUGGCUCAGGACGAACGCUGGCGGUGCGCCUUAUGCAUGCAAGUUGAGCGAAGCUUUUUGGUAGUUUACUACUAAAAAUGACUGAGCGGCGAACGGGUGAGUAACGCGUGAGCAAUCUACCUUAGUUACUGGGAUAGCCCGAGGAAACUCGGAUUAAUACCGGAUAUUCUUAUUUUUUCACAUGAAGUUUUAAGGAAAGGUCAGCCGAACUAAGAUGAGCUCGCGUUCUAUCAGCUAGUUGGUGGGGUAAAAGCCUACCAAGGCUACGACGGAUAGCUGGUCUGAGAGGACGAUCAGCCACACUGGGACUGAGACACGGCCCAGACUCCUACGGGAGGCUGCAGCAGGGAAUAUUGUGCAAUGAGCGAAAGCUUGACACAGCGACACCGCGUGUGGGAUGACGGUUCUAGGAUUGUAAACCACUUUCAGGAGGGAAGAAAAUGACGGUACCUCCACAAGAAGACCCGGCCAACUAUGUGCCAGCAGCCGCGGUAAUACAUAGGGGUCAAGCGUUGUCCGGAUUUAUUGGGCGUAAAGAGCUCGUAGGCGGUUCAACAAGUCGGUCGUAAAAGUUUAGGGCUCAACCCUAAAAUGUCGAUCGAUACUGUUGUGACUAGGAUACGGUAGAGGUGAAUGGAAUUCCGAGUGUGGCGGUGAAAUGCGUAGAUAUUCGGAGGAACACCAAUUGCGAAGGCAGUUCACUGGACCGUGAUCGACGCUGAGGAGCGAAAGCUAGGGGAGCAAACAGGAUUAGAUACCCUGGUAGUCCUAGCUGUAAACGAUGGAUACUAGAUGUAGGAACUGGAUUGACGGUUUCUGUAUCGUAGCUAACGCGUUAGGUAUCCCGCCUGGGGAGUACGGUCGCAAGACUAAAACUCAAAGGAAUUGACGGGACCCCGCACAAGCGGCGGAGCAUGCGGCUUAAUUCGAUGAUACCCGUAGAACCUUACCUGGACUUGACAUAUAGGGAAAAACUGGAGAAAUCCGGUGUGCGUAAGCGCCCUAUACAGGUGGUGCAUGGCUGUCGUCAGCUCGUGUCGUGUGAUGUUGGGUUAAGUCCCGCAACGAGCGCAACCCCUGUCCUAUGUUGCCCAGCAAGUAAUGUUGGGGACUCAUAGGAGACUGCCGGUGAUAAACCGGAGGAAGGUGGGGACGACGUCAAGUCAUCAUGCCCCUUAUGUCCAGGGCUGCACGCAUGCUACAAUGGCAAGUACAACGAGUCGCAAUACCGCGAGGUGGAGCAAAUCUCUUAAAGCUUGUCUCAGUUCGGAUAGGAGUCUGCAACUCGACUCCUUGAAGUUGGAGUCGCUAGUAAUCGCAAAUCAGCAAAGUUGCGGUGAAUACGUUCUCGGGGUUUGUACACACCGCCCGUC
rnacentral:rRNA from 1 species